UUCGGAUCAUUUUAGUUUUCGAAAUUGAUAAGUGCACAUUAAAUGUUGUAUUAUAUUUUCAUACUAAUUUGUUUUGUGCCACGCUGGCAGGCACUGGAAAAUAAAACUUCCUUGCUGCCUUCCGGAAAUUCCACUGCUAGAAGCUUUAAAUAUGUUGGCACAAACACACCCUGCUCAUCAUUCCGACAAUUCUUUUUGACAGAAUUUGGAAACGUAGAGACUAUAUUGGCUUACUGUAAUUUUCCUAACAGCGAAAACAGAAUAAUUCCCUUAAAGGUUCUUGACAAAGGUACCAACCAAUACGGUGAAGCUAGUAAACAUCCACUCUUAGAUCGGAUUUUAGACCUUACGACUAUCUCGCCAACUUGCAGUACCUUGCGUAAUGGGUAUUCAAUUCAAAGAGAGAAUAUACUACUAAAUUGCACGAUUGCUAAUCAAACAAACAUCAUUAUUCCAUUGCCAAGCAGCUACUUGAAAAAGAACCGACGUGAGGGAACCGUGGAAAAACCAAAUUUUCCACAACUUUGUAGGGAUCCGCAAGCUCUUUCCAAACACCUGAUGUUUCCAUGCAAUAUACCGGUUGCAGAGAAUCCGUACCAGGGUUAUGGGCCCCAACCUGCAAAUCCGAUAUACCCACCAGCAUCACCAGGAUGGCCCGCCGCACCAGGGUCUCCUUGGGGAAAUAUCCCAGGAUAUUCCGGACAACUUGGUGGAUUUGUUAGAUCAACUAGAGAGAAGGUGUUAUCUAAAUCAAGUAUUAAUUCCGGAGAGUUACCAAAGCCAUCGGAUAUUCCAAAAAAAGAAAAUUAGAAUUUCAUAUUUAAACUUUAAACAACAAUUAAACAGUAAUAAACUGCACCCGUUUUAGUAACAAAAA